rnacentral:tRNA from 1 species
GCCCUCUUGGUGGAAUGGUAGACACAUAUGCCUUAGGAGCAUACGCAGCAAUGUGUAAGAGUUCGAGUCUCUUAGGGGGUA